rnacentral:tRNA from 1 species
UAGCUCAGUUGGUUAGAGCACCACCUUGACAUGGUGGGGGUCGGUGGUUCGAGUCCACUCGGACGCACCAUGAGAAG